AGAGGCGCGUAGUGAGUGGCGGAGGACUGUGGGGGUGGCGGGCACCGGAGCCGGGAAGGGACAGGUCAGGCGGGGAGUGCGAGCGCGUACUGCUUGCGCCACUCGGGCUGGGUCAGGAGCGGCUGCCCGAGGUCCAGAGGAAGUGUGUGGACAGCGCGGCCUUCCUGGCCGGUGAGUCGGCCCCGGGUCGUGGCCGGUGAGGGGACCCUGAGCUUCACCUGGGCUAGCGCGGGGAGUGACAGGUGCGCGAAGGAGCGCGGCGCUCCGCCCUCUCGCCGACCCGCCCCCUCCGGGCCUCGCCCUCCGGGGCUCGGGAUGAGUCGCGGGCCCCAGCUGAGCGGCUCCGGCUCCAGGCGCCUGUCGCUGCUUCUGCCGUCGCCACCGAAGAGCGGCCGCCGCCCCUGAGGGAAGGAGGGAGGGAAGCAGCCGCUGACCCGUGGCAUGAGCUGGAUGCGGUGUCCGUUGCAGGACUAGGGCGCCGACAUGAACCUGCACCAGGUGCUGACCGGGGCUGUGAACCCUGGCGACCACUGCUUCUCCGUGGGCAGCAUUGGCGACCAGCGCUUCACGGCUUAUGCAUCUGGAUGUGACAUUGUAAUACUGGGAAGCGAUUUUGAAAGAUUACAGAUAAUCCCAGGAGCUAAACAUGGAAAUAUUCAAGUGGGAUGUGUAGACUGUUCAAUGCAACAAGGCAAGGUUUGUAAUCUUCUUCUAAUAUACAAAUUUGUUUGGAAUAUGGUUUUUGUCAGGAUAAUCUCUGAAGUGUGUAUUUCCUAUUGAAUUAGAGACUUGGCUUUGUUUCAAAGAUAGUGUAGCUAGAAGAAUUUUUGGCUGUCUAAGAUGCAUUCUAUAGAGUGCCAGAAAUUCUCUUCUUAUAUAAUUUUAAAUUAUAGCAUCAUCUUCUCUGAGAAAGAAAUACAAUACUUACUGAUAUAGAAUGAGUCUAAAGCUUACGUAUUUAAAAGGUGAUUGGACUGGGGGAAAGGAGUAACAAUGAAUCUUCAAUAUUUACAAAUAAACUAAAGGAAAUGAUUUAGAAUAUUUUUUUUUUUUUGUCUGUGAACAGGUAGUUAUCUCCUUGUAACUUCUAUGUAACAAGGGCUGUGUAACUUUUUGUGGAAAUGAAAAACUCUUUGAGAGUUUAUAAUAUUCUAAGCCCAUAAGAAAAGUGAAAAACUUUAUCUGGACUUCUAUUUGCAUAUGAAAAGUAGAAAGGUAACCUUGAAAGUAAAAUAGCAACAACAUAAACAAAAGUAACAAAGUAUAAAAUUCUUCUAGAUCAGGUUAAAUACAGUUCCUGUAGUACCAGAAUGAGAAAGUCAUACUACUAGGCAAGGCAGCAUAAUAUAUAGCUUAAAAUAACUCCAUAUAGGCAUAGGUGGUAAGGCCUAUAUAUAGUUGUAGCUAGACUGGACUGAACUUCGCAAAUACACUCAUAUGAUUCCACUAGAACAUUUUGUGUAAGGAAUCAAAAUGGUCAUAUUAAGAGUCCAUGGACCCAAUCAUUUGUUUUUAAAUCUAAUCUUCAUUUGAGGUAAACUUUCUAGGAUUAAAAGUUGCCAUCUGGGACUUAAAGAUAUUAAUUAUAAAACGAGUUUCUGUUUUCUGAAUCUUUACAUAUUUGUUGGACUACUGUUCUUUUUGUUACAUGGUAUUCCUUCCCUUUAAUAUAGUUACAGGUGUCCUCUAUCUUUUGUUGAGGCCUCUUAUGACUUCUCGCUGUACAACAAAAAUGAUCUUUAUUAUGGAAUGCUGGAAAUCUUUGGGUUUUUUUUUUGUUUUUUGUUUGUUUUUGUUUGUUUGUUUUGUUUUUUGUUUUUCAGAUGGAGUCUCGCUUUGUUGCCCAGGCUGGAGUGCAGUGGUGCAAUCUCAGCUCACUGCAGCCUCUGGCUUCCGGGUUCAAGCAAUUCUCCUGCCUCAGCCUCCCAAAUAGCUGGAAUUACAGGUGCUCGCCAUCAUACCCGGCUAAUUUUUGUAUUUUUAGUAGAAACGGGGUUUCAUCAUGUUGAUUGCAGCGUCUUAUGGAAAUGUUAUCUCCAUUUUUGAACCAGUUAACCUACCAAAACAAAAGAAAAAUUUGGAAUUAUAUAGUCAGUGGCAGAAAAGUGGCCAAUUUUUUCUGGAAUCAAUAGCACACAAUAUAACCUGGGAUCCCACAGUCGUCUUUUAACUGGUUCCAGCUAUUUGCAACUCUGGUCCAAUACUAACUUGGAGAAGCCAACUGAAGAUGAAAAUUUAAAUAAAACAGAUCUUAACUUUGGAGAUUGGAAAUGCAUUUGGCAUUGCAAAACUGCUUCCCAAGUUCAUUUAAUGAAAUUUUCACCAGAUGGAGAAUUUUUUGCCACUGCUGGGAAGGAUGACUGUCUUUUGAAGGUUUGGUAUAAUGUAGAAAACUGGCGGACAGCUGUUACUUCUCCAGAUGGAAGUUCAGAAAAACAAUCCCAAGGAGAAAUUGACUUUUCUUUUGUGUAUCUGGCCCAUCCUCGAGCAGUAAAUGGAUUUUCCUGGCGUAAAACAAGCAAAUAUAUGCCUAGGGCUUCUGUAUGUAAUGUACUGUUGACUUGCUGCAAAGAUAAUGUGUGUCGUCUUUGGGUAGAGACAUUUUUACCAAAUGAUUGUUUGCUAUACGGAGGUGACUGCAGCCAUUGGACUGAAUCAAUUAAUUUAACAAAUAACUUCAAGAGAAAUGCUUCCAGUAAAGAACGAGUUCAAAAUGCUUUAGAAGUAAAUCUGAGACAUUUUCGUAGAGGUCGGAGGAGAUCACUUGCUCUUGUAGCACAUACGGGAUAUCUACCACAUCAGCAGGAUCCUCAUCAUGUUCACAGGAACACUCCACUGCAUGCCAAUGCACUUUGCCACUUUCAUAUUGCAGCCAGCAUCAACCCAGCCACAGACAUUCCACUUCUUCCAUCUAUUACAUCUCUGAGUCUAAAUGAAAAUGAAGAGAAGACCGGACCUUUUGUUGUACACUGGCUAAACAAUAAAGAACUGCAUUUUACUUUGUCCAUGGAAGUUUUUUUACAGCAACUUAGAAAAAGUUUUGAACAACCAUCUUCUGAGGCCAGUGUAGAAGAUUCUAAUCAGGCAGAUGUAAAAUCUGAUGAAGAAACUGAUGAUGGUGUUGAUGAUCUGAAAAUAAAUCCCGAAAAGAAGGAAUUAGGCUGUGAUAAAAUGGUACCAAACUCAAGUUUUACAUCAUUAUCGUCAGCUGCCAUUGAUCAUCAGAUUGAAGUACUUCUGUCUGAAUGGAGUAAAAAUGCAGAUAUGCUAUUUAGUAUUCAUCCCAUGGAUGGUUCUUUGCUAGUUUGGCAUGUGGAUUGGCUGGAUGAAUACCAGCCUGGUAUGUUUCGUCAAGUACAGGUGUCCUUUGUUUCCAGAAUUCCAGUAGCUUUCCCCACAGGUGAUGCAAACUCUCUCUGUAAAAGCAUAAUGAUGUAUGCCUGUACCAAGAAUGUUGACUUGGCUAUUCAGCAGGGGAAACAAAAACCUUCUGGCCUCACCCGUUCCACAUCAAUGCUUAUUUCUUCUGGUCACAAUAAAUCAUCUAAUAGUUUAAAAUUAAGUAUUUUUACGCCUAAUGUUAUGAUGAUAUCAAAACAUGCUGAUGGUUCUCUGAAUCAGUGGCUGGUCAGUUUUGCCGAGGAAUCUGCUUUUUCUACUGUUCUCAGUAUUUCCCACAAAUCCAGAUAUUGUGGUCAUCGUUUUCAUCUUAAUGAUUUAGCUUGCCACUCAGUAUUACCAUUAUUGCUGACAACAUCACACCAUAAUGCAUUAAGGACACCAGAUGUUGAUAACCCAGAGCAACCUUUUGAUGCUCUAAAUAUUGAAGAAUGCUCUUUGACACAACAAAAUAAAAGCACUGUUGACGUGGCAUUUCAGGAUCCCAGUGCAGUUUACAGUGAGCUUAUUCUGUGGAGGGUUGACCCAGUUGGGCCAUUGUCUUUUUCUGGAGGAGUUUCUGAGCUUGCCCGGAUUAAUUCUCUUCAUGUUUCUGCCUUUUCCAAUGUGGCAUGGCUGCCCACUCUUAUACCCAGUUAUUGUCUGGGUGCAUACUGCAACUCUCCUAGUGCAUGCUUUGUAGCCAGUGAUGGACAAUAUCUGAGAUUAUAUGAAGCAGUUAUUGAUGCUAAGAAACUUUUAUCUGAGCUUUCUAACCCUGAAAUUUCUAAAUAUGUUGGUGAAGUCUUUAACAUCGUCAGUCAACAAUCAACAGCCAGGCCAGGAUGCAUUAUUGCAUUAGAUCCCAUUACCAAACUUCAUGGCAGAAAAACCCAACUGCUUCAUGUUUUUGAAGAAGACUUCAUUUUGAAUAACCUUGAGAAGAAAAGCCUUGGCAAAGACAGCAUUUUAUCUAAUGCAGGCAGCUCACCUAAUGGAUUUUCUGAGAAGUUCUACCUAAUUGUAAUAGAAUGCACUCAAGACAACCGUUCACUGUUACACAUGUGGAAUUUACAUCUAAAGUCAAUUCCUGUCUCAUUAGAUGAAAAAGUAGAUACAAAAUUAUCCGAAGCGGUUUGGCAGCCAGAAGAACAUUAUUCUUCUUCUCCAGAGAAGAUCCUAUCUCCUUUUUCACAAAAGUAUCAGGCUUGCAGAGCAAAUCUCCAGAGUACCAGCAGGUUGACUCUGUUUUCAGAAAUGGUUUAUAGCCAAGAAUUGCAUUUACCAGAAGGAGUUGAGAUAAUAAGUAUUAAGCCAUCAGCAGGACAUCUGAGUUCAUCUUCUAUAUAUCCUGCAUGCAGUGCUCCUUAUUUAUUGGCAACUUCAUGUUCAGAUGAGAAAGUAAGAUUCUGGAGAUGCAGAGUAACAGAUGGAGAAUCUGCCACGUCAAAGAAUGGAAAAAUUGAUCUUGCAUACAUUUGGGAAGAAUGGCCAUUACUUAUUGAAGAUGGACUUCAGAGCAAUAGUAGUAUAACUGUACCUGGUAGGCCUGUAGAAGUUAGCUGUGCACAUACAAAUCGUUUAGCAGUAGCUUAUAAGCAGCCUGCAUCUAAUAGUAGAUCUUCCCAGGACUUUGUGAUGCAUGUAAGUAUUUUUGAAUGUGAGUCAACAGGAGGUUCAUGUUGGGUCCUUGAGCAGACAAUUCAUUUAGAUGAGUUAAGCACAGUAUUGGAUUCUGGCAUUAGUGUUGAUAGCAAUUUAGUGGCCUAUAAUAAACAAGACAUGUAUUUAUCUAGUAAAGAGAAUAUCACAUCAAACACAAAGCAUUUAGUUCACUUAGAUUGGAUGUCUAGAGAAGACGGUUCUCAUAUCCUGACUGUAGGAAUUGGAUCAAAACUUUUUAUGUAUGGACCCCUGGCUGGCAAGGUACAAGACCAAACUGGUAAGGAAACCCUGGCAUUUCCUCUCUGGGAGAGUACCAAAGUUGUGCCCCUUUCUAAAUUUGUACUAUUACGAAGUGUGGACCUAGUUUCUUCUGUAGAUGGCUCCCCACCUUUUCCUGUUUCUUUAUCGUGGGUCCGGGAUGGCAUCCUUGUGGUAGGAAUGGACUGUGAAAUGCAUGUGUAUUGCCAAUGGCAACCAUCUUCUAAACAAGAACCUGUUAUAACAGAUUCGUACAGUGGGAGCACUCCAUCUAUAACAAGUUUAAUAAAACAGAGUAACUCCAGUUCUGGGUUACAUCCUCCAAAGAAAACUCUGACUCGAUCCAUGACCAGUCUUGCACAGAAAAUCUGUGGAAAGAAAACUGCAUUCGAUCCUUCAGUGGAUAUGGAAGAUUCAGGUCUUUUUGAAGCAGCUCAUGUACUUUCCCCGACUCUACCUCAGUAUCAUCCCUUGCAGCUUUUGGAACUCAUGGAUCUUGGUAAAGUUCGGAGAGCCAAGGCCAUCUUGUCCCAUCUUGUUAAGUGCAUUGCUGGGGAAGUUGUGGCUCUGAAUGAAGCUGAAUCUAAUCAUGAACGCCGCCUUAGGUCUCUCACAAUCAGUGCUAGUGGAAGCACUACCAGAGACCCCCAGGCAUUCAACAAGGCUGAAAAUACAGAUUACACAGAAAUAGAUUCUGUUCCUCCACUUCCUUUAUAUGCCUUACUUGCAGCAGAUGAUGAUAGCUGUUACUCAUCUUUGGAGAAAUCUAGUAAUGAGAGUACGUUAAGUAAAUCAAACCAAUUAUCUAAAGAAAGUUAUGAUGAGCUUUUUCAGACUCAACUUCUAAUGACUGAUACUCAUAUGUUAGAGACAGAUGAAGAAAAUACAAAGCCUAGAGUUAUUGACCUUUCACAGUACAGUCCGACUUACUUUGGACCUGAGCAUGCUCAGGUUCUUUCUGGCCACUUACUUCAUUCUAGUUUACCAGGACUCAGCCGGAUGGAGCAGAUGUCUUUGAUGGCCUUAGCAGAUACAAUUGCAACUACAAGCACUGAUAUUGGAGAAAGCCGAGACAGAAGCCAAGGUGGAGAAACUCUUGAUGAAUGUGGGUUAAAAUUUCUUUUGGCUGUUCGACUCCAUACCUUUCUUACAACUUCCCUUCCAGCCUAUCGAGCUCAACUCCUUCACCAAGGCCUGUCUACAAGUCAUUUUGCUUGGGCAUUUCACUCAGUAGCAGAAGAAGAACUGCUGAACAUGUUGCCAGCCAUGCAGAAAGAUGAUCCCACUUGGUCUGAACUAAGAGCUAUGGGUGUGGGGUGGUGGGUCCGGAAUACCCGCAUCUUACGCAAAUGCAUAGAAAAAGUAGCUAAAGCAGCCUUUUAUAGAAAGAAUGAUCCUUUAGAUGCUGCCAUUUUUUACCUUGCAAUGAAAAAGAAAGCUGUGAUUUGGGGAUUAUAUAGAGCUGAAAAAAACACCAGGAUGACACAGUUUUUUGGACACAAUUUUGAGGAUGAGAGGUGGCGUAAAGCAGCUUUAAAGAAUGCUUUUUCUUUGCUAGGCAAACAAAGAUUUGAACAUUCUGCAGCAUUUUUUCUUUUAGCUGGUUGCCUCAGAGAUGCAAUUGAGGUAUGUCUUGAGAAAUUGAAUGACAUUCAGUUGGCUCUUGUAAUAGCAAGACUCUAUGAGUCUGAAUUUGAUACAUCUGCAGCAUAUAAAUCUAUUUUACGUAAAAAAGUUUUGGGAAUCGAUUCUCCUGUCAGUGAACUGUGUUCAUUGAACAUAAAUAUGCAUCAUGAUCCUUUUCUUCGGAGCAUGGCAUAUUGGAUUUUGGAAGAUUAUAGUGGUGCUCUGGAAACAUUAAUAAAGCAACCUAUCAGAGAGAAUGAUGAUCAAGUUUUAUCAGCCAGUAAUCCUACAGUUUUUAAUUUCUACAAUUAUCUAAGAACACAUCCUCUUUUGCUGAGACGUCAUUUUGGAUCAUCUGAUACAUUUUCCACACAUAUGAGCCUAACAGGAAAAAGUGGACUGGCAGGAACAAUUAAUUUAAGUGAAAGACGUUUAUUUUUUACCACUGCCAGUGCUCAUUUAAAAGCUGGCUGCCCAAUGUUGGCUUUGGAAGUAUUAUCAAAGAUGCCUAAAGUCAUCAAGAAAACAAGACCUUUUUAUAGGGCUUCUAGUUUUCUGGAUACUAGUAAAGACUGUUCUCCUUCUUCUCCAUUAAAGUUGGAUGCAAGGGAAGAUAAGUCUUCUGCUGUUGAUUGGUCACAGUCACUGAUAAAUGGUUUUGGAUCUUCUUCAGAGGGUUCCUCAGAGAAGCAAUCAAACUCCACUCUUUCUUUUGACUGGAGCCAACCAAGUGUUGUGUUUCAGGAUGACUCUUUAGAGUUAAAAUGGGACAGUGAUAAUGAUGAAGAAAAUGAGGAUGUCCCUAUUUCAAUGAAAGAACUAAAACCUUUACAGAGAAAAACAGAUAAAAAGUUGGAUGACAUAAGUUCUAACUACACAGAAUCUUUCAGCACACUAGAUGAAAAUGACCUUUUAAAUCCAUCAGAAGAUAUAAUUGCAGUUCAGUUAAAAUUUAGAGCAUGUUUAAAGAUUCUCACAGUAGAACUUCGUACUUUAUCUACUGGCUAUGAAAUAGAUGGUGGAAAAUUGCGUUACCAACUAUACCACUGGCUUGAAAAAGAGGUGAUAGCUCUUCAGAGGACUUGUGACUUUUGCUCAGAUGCUGAAGAACUACAGUCUGCAUUUGGCAGAAAUGAAGAUGAAUUUGGAUUAAAUGAGGAUGCUGAAGAUUUGCCUCACCAAACAAAAGUGAAACAACUGAGAGAAAAUUUUCAGGAAAAAAGACAGUGGCUCUUGAAGUAUCAGUCACUUUUGAGAAUGUUUCUUAGUUACUGCAUACUUCAUGGAUCCCAUGGUGGGGGUCUUGCAUCUGUAAGAAUGGAAUUGAUUUUGCUUUUGCAAGAAUCUCAGCAGGAAACAUCAGAACCACUAUUUUCUAGCCCUCUGUCAGAGCAAACCUCAGUGCCUCUCCUCUUUGCUUGUACAGCCAAUGCCAAAACAGUAGUUGCCAAUCCAUUAUUGCACCUUAGUAAUCUGACACAUGAUAUUCUCCAUGCCAUAAUAAACUUUGAUUCACCACCCCACCCUGAUAUCCAAAGCAAUAAAGUGUAUGUAAUGCAUACUUUAGCAGCUUCACUUUCUGCUUGUAUUUAUCAGUGCCUUUGUGGUAGUCAUAACUACAGUUCAUUUCAGACGAAUCAGUUUACUGGAAUGGUAUAUCAGACAGUACUGCUUCCUCAUCGACCUUCUUUGAAAACAGGAAGCUUAGAUGAAGCAUUAACUCCCAAUACGUCACCAGCUCAAUGGCCAGGAAUAACUUGUCUAAUUCGACUUUUGAAUUCUUCUGGCGAGGAAGCCCAGUCAGGGCUUACAGUCUUGCUCUGUGAGAUUCUCACAGCAGUGUAUCUUAGUCUCUUCAUCCAUGGCCUGGCCACACAUUCAAGUAAUGAGCUAUUUCGGAUUGUGGCCCAUCCUCUAAAUGAGAAAAUGUGGUCUGCUGUGUUUGGUGGAGGUGCACAUGUUCCUAGCAAAGAACAGACACAUUCAAAAACUUUACCUGUUUCUUCACUAGUUGAAGAAGGAGAAAAACAGAACAAACGUUUUAGGCCGUCAAAAAUGUCUUGCAGAGAAUCUGCCCCACUGACCCCUUCCUCGGCACCAGUAAGCCAGGAGUCACUGGCGGUUAAAGAAAAGUUCAUCCCACCUGAGCUCAGUAUCUGGGACUAUUUCAUAGCUAAGCCUUUUCUACCCUCUUCUCAAAGUAGAGCCGAAUAUGAUUCAGAGGAGAGUCUGGGAAGUGAUGAUGAUGACAAUGAUGAUGAUGAUGAUGUUUUAGCAUCAGAUUUCCAUCUCCAGGAACAUUCUAAUUCAAAUUCAUAUAGUUGGUCCUUGAUGCGGUUGGCGAUGGUGCAAUUGGUGCUCAACAAUUUGAAGACUUUUUAUCCCUUCGCAGGUCAUGAUCUUGCAGAGCUUCCAGUUAGUUCACCUCUUUGUCAUGCGGUUCUAAAAACUCUUCAAUGUUGGGAACAAGUUCUUCUCCGACGACUUGAAAUCCAUGGUGGGCCACCUCAAAAUUAUAUCGCAAGUCAUACCGCCGAAGAGAGUUUGUCUGCAGGUCCUGCAAUUCUUCGCCACAAAGCUUUACUGGAACCUACAAACACUCCUUUCAAAUCCAAACACCAUCUGGCACUGUCUGUGAAGAGGCUUUGGCAGUAUUUGGUGAAGCAGGAAGAAAUUCAGGAAACCUUUAUCAAAAAUAUAUUCACAAAGAAACGGUGUCUAAAUGAGAUAGAAGCAGAUUUGGGAUAUCCUGGAGGUAAAGCAAGAAUUAUUCAUAAGGAAUCUGAUAUCAUUACUGCGUUUGCUGUUAAUAAGGCAAAUAGAAACUGCAUAGCAAUCGCUUCCAGUCAUGAUGUUCAAGAACUGGAUGUUUCUGGAAUUCUGGCCACACAGGUCUACACUUGGGUAGAUGAUGAUAUAGAAGUGGAAACCAAAGGAUCAGAAGAUUUCUUGGUUAUACAUGCUCGUGAUGAUUUAACAGCUGUUCAAGGUACAACUCCAUAUACACAUAGCAAUCCUGGCACUCCAAUCAACAUGCCAUGGCUUGGUAGUACACAGACUGGCAGAGGAGCAUCUGUGAUGAUUAAGAAAGCCAUUAAUAAUGUUAGAAGAAUGACUUCUCAUCCAACUCUUCCUUACUAUCUGACAGGAGCUCAAGAUGGAAGUGUCAGAAUGUUUGAAUGGGGCCAUUCUCAACAAAUAACCUGUUUUCGAUCUGGUGGCAAUUCAAGAGUUACAAGAAUGAGAUUUAACUAUCAGGGAAAUAAGUUUGGAAUAGUUGAUGCUGAUGGAUAUUUAAGUUUGUAUCAAACAAACUGGAAAUGUUGUCCAGUUACUGGAAGCAUGCCUAAGCCAUACCUGACUUGGCAGUGUCAUAACAAAACAGCCAAUGAUUUUGUCUUCGUUAGUUCCUCCUCUCUGAUAGCUACAGCUGGUCUUUCAACUGACAAUAGAAACGUAUGUUUGUGGGAUACUCUUGUAGCACCUGCCAAUAGUUUAGUCCAUGCAUUUACCUGCCAUGACAGUGGAGCCACAGUUUUAGCAUAUGCUCCAAAACAUCAGCUACUAAUAUCAGGUGGCAGAAAAGGUUUUACAUAUGUAUUUGACCUUUGUCAACGACAACAGAGGCAGCUUUUCCAGAGCCAUGAUUCUCCUGUUAAAGCCGUUGCUGUUGAUCCAACUGAAGAGUACUUUGUUACAGGAUCUGCCGAAGGCAAUAUAAAGAUUUGGAGUCUCUCUACCUUUGGUCUUCUCCAUACUUUUGUCAGUGAACAUGCUCGGCAGUCCAUUUUUAGAAAUAUUGGAACUGGAGUGAUGCAAAUUGAGACAGGGCCUGCAAAUCACAUUUUCUCCUGUGGAGCUGAUGGAACAAUGAAAAUGAGAAUACUGCCAGAUCAGUUUAGCCCUUUAAAUGAAGUGUUGAAAAAUGAUGUGAAAUUUAUGCUAUAACAUUUUUACAAUAAGAUGUACAAUUUAUUACCUAUAUGGAAGUGGCCAACAGAUAUAAUAUACAGUGAUCAUUCUCUAUGCCACAAAUUAGCUAAUGCUUUCUUGUUUUUAUAUUUAUUUUAUGGAGCUUUGCCCUUGAUGCACUGAUGCCUUAAAAAUUAACAAGGUCAUUCAGAAGUAGAUUACAUUGCCUAAAGUAGAAUGUGUAAGUAAUGCUGUAAUAAUACAUAUCAUAGUAUAUUAUAAUCAGUAUGUCAUAGUGUUAAAGGUGUUUUGUUUUCUUAUUGAUACUUUUCCACAGGCAUCUCUGCAUGAAUUUCUUCCACAGUAAAAAUACGUUUUUUGUAAAGGCAAUUGUACAUAAUACUCAUCACUUAAUUCACCACACUCUCACUUCCUUUAUUAGCCUUAUACAUCUCAAACUCUUCUCUUAAUUAAUGAUAGGUAUUUGAGUAAGAAUGAAAAAAAUAAUGAACAUCUUCAUUAAAAUUGUCAUUGAGACGUCAGUGAUAAAUGAGCUAGAUGGCUCAAUAUGUAAGGUUUUCAGUAGUUUACCCUCCGGAACCCAAGUUGUAUGUAUGUAUACGUGUGUGUGUGUGUGUGUGUGUGUAUCUUACACAUCUUAUUUGAACUUAGUUGUAUAUAUUAGCGAAAACUGGUUUUUCAUGUGUUUUUGUGCCAUAACAACUAUUGCCACCAGAAUAACUUUUUUUUUGCAACUGUGCUUUUCAUUUUUAAAAAAUUUUUGAAUUCCCAUCCUAAUUUUCAAAUAAGUUUCAAGGAGACUAUCAGGAUUAUUAUUUUAAAGAUUAGAUUUAGUCAAAUAAGUCUUAGCAGGCAAUAAAGUUUCUGUGGUGGCAUAUAUCAUGUAAGACACUUAAAGUAAGUUUGUGAAUUUGUCAACUUUCGAGCAUCAAACAAAUAUUUUACUUAAAUUUUAUUUUAUCUUAUUUUUAGGUGCUUUUAAUCUCAAAAUUCUGAAAAGCGAAUAGCAGUGUUUUCAGAAACAAAUGUGAAAGCAGUCAAAUUAAGUAGAUACUAUUUAGAAAUGUAAAAUACUCUCCAGAUCUACCAUUAAUAGAAAAUAAACUAAACCUUAUAUUUUAUUUUUGCCAAAAUAUUUUAUUAUAAAAUAUGACCAAAAUAUUUAAAAUGCACAAUGCUUUUAACUUAAAUGUGCUAACCCUGUUUCUGUCUGUUUUGUGCUGUACCUUUUCUGAUUCAGAAUUAUAGAAAACUUGAUAAAUACUUGAUUUUAACCAAUGAGACUACAGGCAGAUGGGACUAAGUGUUUAUGGGACAAUUAUGUACUAUUUAACUUAAAUAUAUUUUGUUUAAUAGGAAAUAUAUAAUAAUAGCAUUUUAUGUAAUAAAAUAUGGGCAACGAUUAUCUUGGAAAUUAAAGAGUCAAAGCAAAGAAAUGAAGGGCUGGUAAAAUGAAUUUUGUAAUAUCCUCAGGAUACUUUUAUCUUAAAAGUAUGUUGUUAAAGAUUUUGUAAAUUGUAUUUCAACAAUUUUAAAUGUGUUGAGCAAGUUGCAGUGCAAACACUGUCAUUAUGUAGAGAGUUUAUAUGCACAUAAUAACCUGUACCUAUAAAUCGUGCAAUAACCAUAUGCGACUAUUUUGCCAUGGAGAAAUCUGACAGCAUUGCAAACAAUAGUAUUGUUUGAUGUAGUUAACCUUAAGUUAUUUUUCAGUAAUUUCUUCACAAAUCAAGAUUCAAACAGCUUUAAACACUUCCAAUGAGAUAAAAUAUUUACUAUUAUGCUUAUUAGAACAAAAGGUGUUUAAGGAUGAACUAAAUAUUUUAAUUGAGCAUUUAUAUGGAUAAUCAUACAUUAUGUAAGCCCAUAUGUAUUUACAUCCAGAGUCAUAAUAUUUUAAAUAAACAAUCAUGCAGAAACUUU